rnacentral:rRNA from 1 species
CCUUGUACACACCGCCCGUCAAGCCACGAAAGUGGGGGGCGCCCAACAGCACUGUCGUAACCGCAAGGAACAAGGUGCCUAAGGCGAACUCCGUGAUUGGGACU